UACGGGGGGGGGCAAGCGUUGUCCGGAUUUAUUGGGCGUAAAGAGCUCGUAGGCGGCUUGUCGCGUCGUUCGUGAAAACUCACAGCUCAACUGUGAGCUUGCGGUCGAUACGGGCAGGCUAGAGUUCGGUAGGGGAGACUGGAAUUCCUGGUGUAGCGGUGAAAUGCGCAGAUAUCAGGAGGAACACCGGUGGCGAAGGCGGGUCUCUGGGCCGAUACUGACGCUGAGGAGCGAAAGCGUGGGGAGCGAACAGG
rnacentral:rRNA from 1 species